rnacentral:tRNA from 1 species
GCCUGGGUGGCUCAUUCAGUUGGGCAUCCGACUUCAACUCAGGUCAUGAGCUCAGUUUGUGGGUUCAAGCCCCACGUCGGGCU